rnacentral:lncRNA from 1 species
UCGGCGACCUUUGCAACUUCAUCAUUGACGAGAUUGUUGAUUCUAGAGGCGCUUAUCAUGAUGUAAGGUCCGACUUAGGCUCCAAUCCACUUCACCAACACCUGCGUGAGACACACAGGCUCUGUCUUGGACGUUGAUAACAAUCUAGACUAAGAUGCAUAUGGACUUGUAGGAAUAUUUGAACUUGUGAAUUAUGGUUAUGUAAUAGACUUUGCGAUGAAUUAGACAUGUAAUUUGUGGUU